UACGGAGGGUGCAAGCGUUAUCCGGAUUCACUGGGCUUAAAGGGCGCGUAGGCGGGCUGGUAAGUCAGUGGUGAAAUCUCCAGGCUUAACUUGGAAACUGCCAUUGAUACUAUCAAUCUUGAAUACCGUGGAGGUCAGCGGAAUAUGUCAUGUAGCGGUGAAAUGCUUAGAUAUGACAUAGAACACCAAUUGCGAAGGCAGCUGGCUACACGAAUAUUGACACUGAUGCACGAAAGCGUGGGGAGCAAACAGG
rnacentral:rRNA from 1 species